rnacentral:rRNA from 1 species
CCCCUAGAUGUUCUGGGCCGCACGCGCGUUACACUGAACAGUUCAACAAGUCUUAACCUUGGCCGAUAGGUCUGGGUAAUCUUUGAACGCUGUUCGUGAUUGGGAUAGACCUUUGCAAUUAUGGGUCUUCAACGAGGAAUUCCUAGUAAACGCAAGUCAUCAGCUUGCAUUGAUUACGUCCCUGCCCUUUGUACACACCGCCCGUCGCACCUACCGAUUGAAUGGUCCGGUGAAAUCUCGGGACGGCGGCUUGGUCGCUUGCGUCCGACUGCUGAAACUUGAUUAAACCAUAUCAUUUAGAGGAAGGUGAAGUCGUAACA